rnacentral:lncRNA from 1 species
AGGCGCGCUUGCUCUGUUUCCCCCAAAAUCGACCGCUGCUUUUCCCCCAAAUUAGGCGGGUCGCCAAAAUCCUCGGUGCCCGUCCACCACUCGUACGCAAUCCCACUCCCCAUCUCCUCGCUCCCCUCCCCCGCCCACUUCACCGCCGGCGACCGCGACGGCUCAUCUCCUCCCUCCUACAUCACCGCCGCCUGCAACCACCGGCGACCUUUCUCAUGGGCUCAACCCUAUCCCCCACCCUCCCCUCACGUUCUCUCCCAGAUCGGAUCGGAUCGAGAAUCAGCAGGUUAGCCGGUGGCCAGAUUCGCGGCGGUCCGUCUCUCGGGCCUCUUUUUUAUGCUCCUAGAUCAGAUCGAGCAGCAGGUCCAUUGUUUAUUUAGUAGGCCAUGGAGUUGUUGACUCCAUUGUUGAUUUAACAGACUAGUCCAUUGUUCAUUCGAUUUCACAGGCCAUGGAGUUGGUGAAGUUGUCCCUCCUUCGUCAACUUGGUUAGAGGUCCAAGUUCGAGGGACCUGACGAGAAAGAGGACAAGGACCACCGGGAACCAAGACCUCCAUAUAGCCAUGGCAAUAGCCGCACCUUCCCCUUCCACAAGGUCUUCUCCUCCCCGCAACAUGCAUCUCUCUCUGUUCGUGGUGUACAAAUUCUUGAUUUUUUGUUCUAUGGUUAGAGUAAGUCAGUAGAAAAGUUUGACACUUGAUGAAAUUCCAUGGUGAUUAGGUAUAGGAAUCCAUCCUAGGAAAUAUGAGAGCAAAGCUGCCUAUAUUGACGAAAUUCUUGAUUGUUGGAUCACGAGGAUCUAGGAUCUCUCUCUAUCGACAAAUCUGACUUGUUAGAUAGCACUUUCACUUAUAAGUACAGACAGAUGAAUUUGCAUCACUUUUUGUUCGGCAUGUGAAGACUGAGACGAGCAGACCCAUUUGUAAACAUCACUCAUGCAGAUUUGUUCCUAGUGUAGAUUUGGACACAAUCCCUCUUGACUUUGAGGUUUUUUCCCAUGUAAUCGCUACUCCGUUCGAAGCUAUUUUCUAUUCUGGUUGUGAAACCAAACUAUGGUGACGAGGUCCCUCUUGGGUUUGGUUUACUCUGAGGUUGUGCACCACGAUUCUAGGUUCUUGUGUAGUGGUAUGACCAAAUUCUGCAAUUCAUAUCAUAUCUUGUUCUAGAUGAUGCGUUUAUGGUUGAUGCUUAUGCUCAUGAAUGGCAUUUCAUUUUGCACCUGAUCUAGCUCACUGUCAUUGUUCCCUAAAAUUGCUACUGGAUAUACAUUGUUUGGUUAGUGCUUCCUUUCUUUGUGGACUAAAUUGGAUGAAGAAAAUGUGUUGAUUUUCUAUGGUAAAAGGUUGCUACCUUGCCCUAGAUGCCUACAUUACUAGUUAUGCUCUUUUCAUCUACAAAUAAAUUAUCACACUAGACUACCCUCUUAUUGCUCAUGUGGUCUUUUUUGGGAAGCCCAGUCCUGCUUUAUAAAUAACGUAUCACACCUCACUGCCCUGUUUAUUUUGUAGCUCACCAUUUGCUGUUGUACAUGCUGAUUGUAGUCAAUCUGUUGGAUUCCUCGACCUAGUUACAUCACAUAUUUUAAAAUCGAGGUGCUAGUCUUUUUCAUAAAUUUGUUUAUAGGCUAUUCUUGUAAGUACCAAAAUCUGAUAAUACAUAUGUUUGUGUGGCGUUGGCUGUGUGGUCAUUUGUUACUCAUUUUUUCUCCAUGACCGGUUCAGCUUAUGCAAGGGUAAUUGUAGUUAUGUAUAUUCACCACUUUUGCUACAGCCAAGUGAAGUAAUUGAUUGUUUCCUCAUGCAGGUGUAGUAGGUGUUCAUGGAAAAAGACAGAAAUUUUUAGGAGAUGAGGAGUUACUGAAACAUUGGCUGCAGUGCAAGGCCUCAAUGUGGCCAAAUCAACUCAAUGGUAUGUUGUGCUGGGCACUCAAUCAUUAUGUGAAGAGUUGUGAGUUUGCACUGCUACUAUUUGAAGAAACUGUAAAUUUUGAGACUUUAGUUGCUAGGGACGGAAAGCUGGAUGUCUGGUGUAUGUUUAGUACAGGUAGAAAUUUUCUACCCUACCACUUGUUGUCGUACAUGCUGGUUCUAGUUCAUGUGUUGGAUGCCUCAGACCUAGUUACAUAAUGAUACGUCUCCAACGUAUCUACUUUUCCAAACACUUUUGCCCUUGUUUUGGACUCUAACUUGCAUGAUUUGAAUGGAACUAAUCUGGACUAACGCUAUUUUCAGCAGAACUACCAUGGUGUUAUUUAUGUGUAGAAGGAAACGUUCUCAGAAUGACCUAAAACUUCACGGAGACAUUUUUCAGAAAAUAAGAAAAAUACCUUCCAAAGAUGAAGGCCAGGGGGGCCACCACCUUGCCAUGAGGGUGGGGGGCGUGCCUCCCCCCUAGGGCGCGCCUCCCUACCUCGUGGGCCCCCUAUUGCCUCUCCGACUCCAACUCCACCUUCAUAUAUUGAGUUUUAGGGAGAAACAAAUCAGAGAGAAGAAAUCAUCGCAUUUUACGAUACGGAGCCACCGCCAAUCCCUAAAACCUCUCGGGAGGGCUGAUCUGGAGUCCGUUCGGGGCUCCGGAGAGGGGAAUCUGUCGCCAUCGUCAUCAUCAACCAUCCUCCAUCACCAAUAUCAUGAUGCUCACCGCCGUGUGUGAGUAAUUCUAUCGCAGACUUGCUGGACGGUGAUGGGUUGGAUGGGAUCUAUCAUGUAAUCGAGUUAGUUUUGUUAGGGUUUGAUCCCUAGUGUCCACUAUGUUUUGAGAUUGAUGUUGCUAUGACUUUGCUAUGCUUAAUGCUUGUCACUAGGGCUUGAGUGCCAUGAUUUCAGAUAUGAACCUAUUAUGUUUUCAUCAAUAUAUGAGUGUUCUUGAUCGUAUCUUGCAAGUCUAUAGUCACCUUUUAUGUGUUAUGAUCCGUUAACCCCGAAGUGACAAUAAUCGGGAUACUUACCGGUGAUGACCGUAGUUUGAGGAGUUCAUGUAUUCACUAUUUGUUAAUGCUUUGUUCUGGUUCUCUAUUAAAAGUAGGCCUUAAUAUCCCUUAGUUUCCGUAAGGACCCCGCUGCCAGGGGAGGGUAGGCCAAAAGAUGUCAUGCAAGUUCUCGUCCAUAAGCAUGUAUGACUAUAUUCGGAAUACGUGCCUACAUUAUAUCAAUGAACCGGAGCUAGUUCUGUGUCACCCUAGGUUAUGACUGUUACAUGAUGAACCGCAUCCGACAUAAUUCUCCAUCACUGAUCCAUUGCCUACGAGCUUUCCAUAUAUUGUUCUUCGCUUAUUUACUUUUCCAUUGCUAUUGCUAUCAUCACUACAAAAUACCAAAAAUAUUACUUUUACUACUGUUACCUUUCGUUACCGUUAUCACUACGAUCAUAUUACUUUGCUGCAGAUAUUAAGUAUCCAGGUGUGGUUGAAUUGACAACUCAGCUGCUAAUACUUGAGAAUAUUCUAUGGCCCCCACUACUAGGAAAAGGGCUAUAGAUAGGAUUGACACUAAUGGUGCACCAGGGAAGUAGUGCGCCACUACUAUAUACUAAUGGCGCACUAGUUGGUGAUGCGCCAUUAGUGUGGAAGACACUUAUGGCGCACCAGAAAAUAGGUGCGCCACUAGUGAUAUUUUUUUUCAUUUUUACAUACAUACUAAUGGCGCAUCCUACCGAAGUUUGCCAUUACUAGUUCUAACUAGUAAUGGCGCACCAGACAGGGAGUGCGCCAGUACUGAAUUUUUUUUAUUCUUUUUUUUGCAAAACUACUAAUGGCGCACCGCCUCACAGUGCGCCAUUACUAGUUUAAACUACUAAUGGCGCACCCUGUAAAGUGGGCCAUUAGUAUAUUUUUUUUUACUUUUCUGCAAAAUUACUAAUGGCGCAUCACCUGUAGGUGCAACAUUAGUAACCAGGGUUACUAAUGGCGCAUUUGCAGGUGGUGCACCAUUAGUAACCUGGGACCCCAACAAGAUAUUUUGGACAGCCACACCUACCCACUCACUUUCCCCACUUCAUUCCCUCCACCUCCUUCUCCAAGCUUUCGGCUGCCUCCUCCUCACCUCAUUUCCACCAUAGAUUCAUCAAAAUUAAGUGGUGAAAUUACCUUUUUUUGAUAGGUAAGUAAGGGGAAAGCUAUCUUCAUGAUGUAGAUCUACUUUUUUUCUCCCUAGCUCACUCCAACAACGUGCACAUGCACUUUUUGUGGCCUAGCUAGAUCUAUGUAUGUUUGUGUUGUUGCAUGUGUCUGUGGUGUUGCAUAUAUGUUUGUGUUUGCAGGUACCGGUAUUUGAAAUGCGAUAGUUGCCAAUAUUUUGCCGGAAUGUUGAUUCAUUUCCGUUUCGGCGAGAAUUUUGGCACUAUGCAUUCUUUUUCGUCCUAUUUUUAGGGAAGGUCAUGCCAAAAAAUUUCUUGGUUCUAAAAUAUCGUUUUGCUCUACCCCGCAGGCGACCAUGGUCCGCACAAUGACCGAAGGCAUCGUGAAUAGGUUUUUGAGCUCCGCGAAGGCCGAGAUGCUUCAAAAGAACGAGACGGAGAUAAGAUGUCCGUGUCGAAGAUGCAAGCUGAAGAGCCUUAUUGCGGACCCGGAUUUCGGGCAGGUGCGGGACCAUCUGCUCUUGCGUGGUUUCAUGGAUCGCUAUCGGUGGCAAGGUGAUGAAGAUGACUAUGAAGUCGUCCAUGGGGGCCGGGCAAGAAAUGAGGAAGGGCAACAAGACAAGUACCACCUCGGCGAGGGUGGGCGAGAAGACGAAGAAUCUCCAGGACAUGAUCACGACGGUGAUGUUGUGCACAGUCAUCAUGUAAAAGAUGUCGUACAUGAUGAUGAGGAAGUUCAAGACGAAGGUCAUGGUCAUGAAGAUGAAGAUGCCGGAGCAGACGACGAUGGAGGCUGGGUGCAGGACCCUCAUAUUCAAGAGCUGCUUCUCAAGCAGACGGAUAACGCAAGAGCUGCCGUCCGAGAGAAAGCCAAGCUGGAUCAACUAGAGAUAGACGCGGUUACUCCAUUAUAUGAAGGAUAUAGGCCCGAGGAUACCCGCCUGAAAGUAACGCUCAUGGCUCUGGAGAUGAAGGUAAAACACAAAAUGACCGAAGCAUGCUUCAACGAGAACAUGUCAUACUGGCACGAACAUCUUCCCCAGGGGAACAAGUGCCCGACCAGUUUCGAGGAGGCGAAGAAAAUCGUGUGUCCUCUGGAUUUACCGCACGUGAAAUACCAUGUGUGCGUGAACAAUUUCAUCAUUUACCGGGACGAGCAUGCGGAGUCUACCAUAUGUCCGGUGUGCGGCGUCACUCGAUACAAGAAGAGGAAGAAAGCUCCUCGAAAAUCAGUGUGGUACUUUCCGAUCACUCCUCGUCUGCAGCGGUAUUUCACGGACCCUAAGGUAGCAAAGCUCCUGCGUUGGCACGCGGAUAGGGAGGAGAAGAAGCGGGAAGAUGACGGAAAUGAUCCGGAGAUAAAUAAAAAAGACAAGAUGUUGAGUCACCCUAAGGAUGCGAGCCAGUGGCAAGUGUUGAACUUCGAAUGCCCAGAAUUUGGAAGGAUCCAAGGAACAUCAUGCUGGGCGCGAGCACCGAUGGAGUCAAUCCGUUUGGCAGCCAGAGAAGCACACAUAGCACCUGGCCUGUGUUUGUGUGGAUGUACAACCUUCCCCCUGGUUGUGCAUGAAGAGGAAGUACAUUCACAUGAGUAUGCUAACUGAAGGGCCGAAACAACCAGGGAACGACAUCAAUCUGUAUCUGGGGCUGCUGAAAGAGGAGCUAGACACGCUGUGGAAAACACCAGCCGAUACGUGGGACGCUGCAGAGAAAGAAUAUUUCCCUAUGAGAGCCGCACUGCUCACGACGGUGCACGACUAUCUCGGUUACGGAUAUCUCACGGGGCAGGUAGUCCACGGAUUUUCUGGAUGCGUAAGGUGCAUGGAUGACACAACGUAUCGCCAGCUAGAUAGAGAUCCUGGGUCUUCGAAAACCGUGUUCAUGGGACAUCGAAGGUGGCUUCGCGACGAUGACCCGUGGAGGAAACGCAAGGAUCUGUUCGAUGGUGAAACCAAACCCCGAAAACGCCCGCGUACGAGGAGCGGCGAGAAAAUAGACGAGCUGUUGAAAAAUUGGAAAGGUUGCCCACUGCCGGGAAAGAAGCAAAAGGCGCCAGAGCCGCUGCUGAAGGUAUGGAAAACGAGGUCUGUUUUCUGAGACUUGCCGUACUGGAAGAUCCACCGUGUGCCUCACAGCCUUGAUGCCAUGCAUAUCACGAAGAACGUGUGCGAUAGUCUGCUUGGUACCCUGCUCAACAUGCCAGAGAGGACCAAAGAUGGCCGAAAGCAAGGGCAGACUUGAAAUCAAUGGGCAUCAGGCAGGAGCUUCACACUAAUGAUGAUGAUGAUGAUGAUGAGGCGAAGCAGGACACAGAAACUCGUCGCAAAGGCAAAAAGGCCAAGAAGACCAGAAGUGACUACCCUCCCGCGUGCUUCAUUCUAAGUCAGGAGGAGAUCGAGCAGUUUUUUGUUGGAAAUAUGCCCUAGAGGCAAUAAUAAAAGUGUUAUUAUUAUAUUUCCUUGUUCAUGAUAAUUGUCUUUUAUUCAUGCUAUAACUGUAUUAUCCGGAAAUCGUAAUACACGUGUGAAUACAUAGACCACAAUAUGUCCCUAGUGAGCCUCUAGUUGACUAGCUCGUUGUGAUCAACAGAUAGUCAUGGUUUCCUAGCUAUGGACAUUGGAUGUCGUUGAUAACGGGAUCACAUCAUUAGGAGAAUGAUGUGAUGGACAAGACCCAAUCCUAAGCCUAGCACAAAGAUCGUGUAGUUCGUUUGCUAGAGCUUUGCCAAUGUCAAGUAUCUCUUCCUUUGACCAUGAGAGCGUGUAACUCCUGGAUACCGUAGGAGUGCUUUGGGUGUAUCAAACAUCACAACGUAACUGGGUGACUAUAAAGGUGCACUACAGGUAUCUCCGAAAGUAUCUAUUGUUUUAUGCGGAUCGAGACUGGGAUUUGUCACUCCGUGUAAACGGAGAGGUAUCUCUGGGCCCACUCGGUAGGACAUCAUCAUAUGCGCAAUGUGACCAAGGAGUUGAUCACGGGAUGAUGUGUUACGGAACGAGUAAAGUGACUUGCCGGUAACGAGAUUGAACAAGGUAUCGGUAUACCGACGAUCGAAUCUCGGGCAAGUAACAUACCGCUAGACAAAGGGAAUUGUAUACGGGAUCGAUAGAGUCCUUGACAUCGUGGUUCAUCCGAUGAGAUCAUCGUGGAACAUGUGGGAGCCAACAUGGGUAUCCAGAUCCCGCUGUUGGUUAUUGACCGGAGAACGUCUCGGUCAUGUCUGCAUGUCUCCCGAACCCGUAGGGUCUACACACUUAAGGUUCGAUGACGCUAGGGUUAUAAAGGAAGCUUGUAUGUGGUUACCGAAUGUUGUUCGGAGUCCCGGAUGAGAUCCCGGACGUCACGAGGAGUUCCGGAAUGGUCCGGAGGUAAAGAUUUAUAUAUAGGAAGUCCUGUUUCGGCCAUCGGGACAAGUUUCGGGGUCAUCGGUAUUGUACCGGGACCACCGGAAGGGUCCCGGGGGGCCACAUGGGCUGUAGGGGGUGCGCCUUGGCCUACAUGGGCCAAGGGCACCAGCCCCAAGAGGCCCAUGCGCAAGGAAACUUGGGGAGGGAAGAGUCCUCAAAGGGGAAGGCACCUCCGAGGUGCCUUGGGGAGGAUGGACUCCUCCCCAUCCUUAGCCGCACCCCUUCCUUGGAGGAGGGGGCAAGGCUGCGCCCUCCCCCUCUCCCUUGGCCCUAUAUAUAGUGGGGAAAAGGAGGAGCAAUCAUACCUAAGGCCUUUGGUUGCCUCCCUCUCCCUCCCGUGACACAUCUCCUCUCCCGUAGGUGCUCGGCGAAGCCCUGCGGGAUUGCCACGCUCCUCCACCACCACCACGCCGUUGUGCUGCUGUUGGAUGGAGUCUUCCUCAACCUCUCCCUCUCUCCUUGCUGGAUCAAGGCGUGGGAGACGUCACCGGGCUGUACGUGUGUUGAACGCGGAGGUGCCGUCCGUUCGGCACUUGAUCAUCGGUGAUCUGAAUCACGACGAGUACGACUCCAUCAACCCCGUUCACUUGAACGCUUCCGCUUAGCGAUCUACAAGGGUAUGUAGAUGCACUCCUCCUUCUACUCGUUGCUGGUCUCUCCAUAGAUAGAUCUUGGUGUUACGUAGGAAAAUUUUUGAAUUUCUGCUACGUUCCCCAAUAGUGGCAUCAUGAGCUAGGUCUAUUGCGUAGAUUCUUUGCACGAGUAGAACACAAAGUAGUUGUGGGCGUUGAUGUUGUUCAAUAUGCUUACCGUUACUAGUCCAAUCUUGUUUCGACGGUAUUGUGGGAUGAAGCGGCCCGGACCGACCUUACACGUACUCUUACGUGAGACAGGUUCCACCGAUUGACAUGCACUUGGUGCAUAAGGUGGCUAGCGGGUGCCAGUCUCUCCCACUUUAGUCGGAACGGAUUCGAUGAAAAGGGUCCUUAUGAAGGGUAAAUAGCAAUUGGCAUAUCACGUUGUGGUUUUGCGUAGGUAAGAAACGUUCUUGCUAGAAACCCAUAGCAGCCACGUAAAACAUGCAACAACAAUUAGAGGACGUCUAACUUGUUUUUGCAGGGUAUGCUAUGUGAUGUGAUAUGGCCAAAAGGAUGUGAUGAAUGAUAUAUGUGAUGUAUGAGAUUGAUCAUGUUCUUGUAAUAGGAUUCACGACUUGCAUGUCGAUGAGUAUGACAACCGGCAGGAGCCAUAGGAGUUGUCUUUAUUUUUUGUAUGACCUGCGUGUCAUUGAAGAACGCCAUGUAACUUACUUUAUUGCUAAACGCGUUAGCCAUAGAAGUAGAAGUAGUCGUUGGCGUGACAACUUCAUGAAGACACGAUGAUGGAGAUCAUGAUGAUGGAGAUCAUGGUGUCAUGCCGGUGACGAUGAUGAUCAUGGAGCCCCGAAGAUGAAGAUCAAAAGGAGCAAAAUGAUAUUGGCCAUAUCAUGUCACUAUUUGAUUGCAUGUGAUGUUUAUCAUGUUUAUGCAUCUUGUUUACUUAGGACGACGGUAGUAAAUAAGAUGAUCCCUUACAAAAUUUCAAGAAGUGUUCUCCCCUAACUGUGCACCGUUGCUACAGUUCGUUGCUUCUAAGCACCACGUGAUGAUCGGGUGUGAUGGAUUCUUACGUUCACAUACAACGGGUGUAAGACAGUUUUACACAGCGAAAACACUUAGGGUUAACUUGACGAGCCUAGCAUGUACAGACAUGGCCUCGGAACACGGAGACCGAAAGGUCGAGCAUGAGUCGUAUAGUAGAUACGAUCAACAUGAAGAUGUUCACCGACGUUGGCUAGUCCGUCUCACGUGAUGAUCGGACACGGCCUAGUUGACUCGGAUCAUGUGAUCACUUAGAUGACCAGAGGGAUGUCUAUCUGAGUGGGAGUUCAUAAGAUGAAUUUAAUUAUCUUGAACAUAGUCAAAAGACCUUUUGCAAAUUAUGUCGUAGCUCGCGCUUUAGUUCUACUGUUUUAGAUAUGUUCCUAGAGAAAAUAUAGUUGAAAGUUGAUAGUAGCGAUUAUGCGAACAGUAGAAAGCUUAUGUCCUUAAUGCAUUGCUCAGUGUGCUGAACCCCAAACGUCGUUUGUGGAUGUUUCGAACAUCGAACAUACACGUUUUGAUAACUACGUGAUAGUUCAGUUAAAUGGUUUAAGUAGAGGCACCAAAGACGUUUUCGAAACAUCGCGGAACAUAUGAGAUGUUUCGAGGGCUGAAAUUGGGAUUUCAGGCUCGUGCUCACGUCAAGAGGUAUAAGACCUCCGACGAUUCUCUUAGCCUGCAAACUAAGGGAGAAAAUCUCAAUCGUUGAGCUUGUGCUCAGAUUGUCUGAGUGCAACAAUCACUUGAAUUGAGUGGGAGUUGAUCUUCCAAAUGAGAUAGUGAUGUUUCUCCAAAGUCAUUGCCACCGAGCUGCUAGAGCUUCGUGAUGAACUAUAACAUAUCAGGGAUAAAUAAGAUAAUCCUUGAGGUAUUCACGAUGUUUGACACCGCGAAAGUAGAAAUCAAGAAGGAGCAUCAAUUGUUGAUGGUUGGUGAAACCACUAGUUUCAAGAAGGGCAAGGGCAAGAAGGGAUACUUCAUGAAACGGCAAAUCAGCUGCUGCUCCAGUGAAGAAACCCAAGGUUGAACCCAAACCCGAGACUAAGUGCUUCUGUAAUAAGGGGAACAGUCACUAGAGCAGAAUUACCCUAGAUACUUGGUAGAUGAGAAGGCUGGCAAGGUCGAUAGAAGUAUAUUGGAUAUACAUUAUGUUAAUGUGUACUUUACUAGUACUCCUAGUAGCACCAGGGUAUAAGAUGCCGGUUCAGUUGCUAAGUGUUAGUAACUCGAAAUAAAAGCUACGGCAUAAACGGAGACUAGCUAAAGGUGAGCUGACGAUAUGUGUUGGAAGUGUUUCCAAUGUUGAUAUGAUCAAGCAUCGCACGCUCCCUCUACCAUCGAGAUUUGGUGUUUGCGUUGAGCAUAGACAUGAUUGGAUUAUGUCUAUCGCAAUACGGUUAUUCAUUUAAAGAGAAUAAUGGUUACUCUAUUUAUUUGAAUAAUACCUUCAAUGGUCUUGCACCUAAAAUGAAUGGUUCAUUGAAAUCUCGAUCGUAGUGAUACACAUGUUCAUGCCAAAAGAUAGUAAUGAUAGUACCACCUAUUUGUGGCACUGCCACGUAAGUCAUAUCGGUAUAAAAUGCAUGAAGAAGCUCCAUGUUGAUGGAUCUUUGGACUCACUCAUUUUUGAAAAAGUUUGAGACAUGUGAACCAUGUCUAUUGGUAUAUAUGCAUGAAGAAACUCCAUGCAAAUGGACCGUUCGGACUCACUUGAUUUUGAAUCACUUGAGAUAUGCAAAUCAUACCACAUAGGCAAGAUGACUGAAAAGCCUCGGUUUCAAUAAGAUGGAACAAGAUAGCAACUUGUUGGAACUAACACAUUUUGAUGUGUGCAGUCCAAUAAGUGCUGAGGCAUGCAGUGAAUAUCGUUAUGUUCUUACUUCACAGAUGAUUCGAGUAGAUGUUGAGAAUAUUUACUUGAUGAAACACAAGUCUGAAUUAUUGAAUGGUUCAAGUAAUUUCAGAGUGAAGUAGAAGAUCAUUGUGACAAGAGGAUAAAAUGUCUAUGAUACGAUCAUAGAGAUGAAUAUCUGAGUUACGAGUUUUGGCACACAAUUAAGACAUUGUGGAAAAUGUUUCACAAUUAAUACCGCCUGGAACACCAUACUGUGAUGGUGUGUCCGAACAUCAUAGUUGCACCCUAUUGGAUAUGGUGCGUACCAUGAUGUCUCUUAUUGAAUUACCACUAUCGUUCAUGGGUUAGGCAUUAGAGACAACCACAUUCACUUUAAAUAGGGCACCACGUAAUUCCGUUGAGAGGACACCAUAUGAAUUAUGGUUUAGAGAAACCUAAGUUGUCGUUUCUUAAAAGUUUGGGGCUACGACGCUUAUGUGAAAAAGUUUCAGGCUGAUAAGCUAGAACCCAAAGCGGAUAAAUGCAUCUUCAUAGGACACCCAAAACAGUUGGGUAUACCUCCUGUCUCAGAUCCAAAAGCAAUAAAGGAUUGUUUCUUGAAUCAGGUCCUUUCUCGAGGAAAGGUUUCUCUCGAAAGAAUUGAGUGGGAGGAUGGUGGAGACUUGAUGAGGUUAUUGAACCAUCACUUCAACCAGUGUGUAGCAGGGCACAGGAAGUUGUUCCUGUGGCACCUACACCAAUUGAAGUGGAAGCUUAUGAUAGUGAUCAUGAAACUUCAGAUCAAGUCACUCCCAAACCUCGUAGGAUGACAAGGAUGCGUACUACUUGAGAGUGGUACGUAAUCCUGUCUUGGAAGUCAUGUUGCUAGACAACAAUGAGCCUACGAGUUAUGGAGAAGCGAUGGUGGGCCCGGAUUCCGAUAAAUGGCUUUGGGCCAUAAAAUCCGAGAGAGGAUCCAUGUAUGAAAACAAAGUGAAGACUUUGGCAGAACGGCUCGAUGGUCGUAAGGCAAAUGAGUACGGAUGGAUUUUAAAAGGAAGACAGUCAAUGAUGGUAAGAAUUACCAUUAAGAAAGCUCGACUUGUUGUUAAGAUGUUUUCCGACAAGUUCAAGGAGUUGACUACGAUGAGAUUUUCUCACUCGUAGCGAUGCUAAGAGUCUGUUGGAAUUAUAUUAGCGAUUACUGCAUUAUUUAUGAAAUCUUGCAGAUAGGAUGUCAAAACAUUGUUUCCUCGACGAUUUUCUUGAGGAAAGGUUGUAUGUGAUACAACCGGAAGGUUUUGUCAAUCCCGAAAGAUGCUAAUAAGUAUGCAAAGCUCCAGCAAUCCUUCUAAGGACUGGAGUGAGCAUCUCGGAGUUGGAAUGUAUGAUUUGAUGAUGAUCAAAUAUUUUGGGUUUGUACAAAGUUUAUGAGAAACUUGUAUUUCCAAAGAAGUGAGUGGAAGCACUAUAGAAUUUCUGAUGAAUAUAUGUUGAUCAGAAACGAUGUAGAAUUUCUAGAAAGCAUAUAGGGUUAUUUGAAAGGUGUUUUUCAAUAGAAAACCUGGAUUAAGCUACUUGAACAUUGAGCAUCAAGAUCUAUAAGGAUAGAUCAAAAUGCUUAAUAGAACUUUCAAAUGAGCACAUACCUUGACAUGAUCUUGAAGGUGUUCAAGAUGGAUCAGUCAAAGAAGAAGUUCUUGCCUGAGUUGUAAGGUACGAAGUUAAGACUUAAAGCUCGACCUCGGCAGAAUAGAGAGAAAGGACGAAGGUCGUCCCCUAUGCUUAAGACAUAGGCUCUACAGUAUGCCAUGCUGAGUAUCGCACCUGAAGUGUGCCUUGCCAUGAGUCAGUCAAGGGGUACAAGAGUGAUCCAUGAAUGGAUCACAGACAGCGGUCAAAGUUAUCCUUGGUAACUAGUGGACUAAGGAAUUUUCUCGAUUAUGGAGGUGGUAAAAGAGUUCGUCGUAAAGGUUACGUCGAUGCAAGCUUAACACCUAUCUGGAUAGCUCUAAGAAGAGAUACCGGAUACGUAUUAGGGGGCAACAAAUUAGAAUAGCUCCAAGUAGAACAGUUAUUUGGAAUAGCUCCAAAUAGAGCGUGGUAGCUACAUCUAGGAGAUGACAUAGAGAUUUGUAAAGCACACACGGAUCUGAAAGGUUCGGACCCGUUGACUAAAACCUCUCUCACAACCAACAUGAUCAAACCUAAAACUCUUGGGUAUUAGUCACAUGGCGAUGUGACCUGUGAGUGUUAAUCACAUGGCGAUGUGAACUAGAUUAUUGACUCUAGUGCAAGUGGGAGACUGUUGGAAAUAUGCCCUAGAGGCAAUAAUAAAAGUGUUAUUAUUAUAUUUCCUUGUUCAUGAUAAUUGUCUUUUAUUCAUGCUAUAACUGUAUUAUCCGGAAAUCGUAAUACACGUGUGAAUACAUAGACCACAAUAUGUCCCUAGUGAGCCUCUAGUUGACUAGCUCGUUGUGAUCAACAGAUAGUCAUGGUUUCCUGGCUAUGGACAUUGGAUGUCGUUGAUAACGGGAUCACAUCAUUAGGAGAAUGAUGUGAUGGACAAGACCCAAUCCUAAGCCUAGCACAAAGAUCGUGUAGUUCGUUUGCUAGAGCUUUGCCAAUGUCAAGUAUCUCUUCCUUUGACCAUGAGAGCGUGUAACUCCUGGAUACCGUAGGAGUGUGUUGGGUGUAUCAAACGUCACAACGUAACUGGGUGACUAUAAAGGUGCACUACAGGUAUCUCCGAAAGUAUCUAUUGUUUUAUGCGGAUCGAGACUGGGAUUUGUCACUCCGUGUAAACGGAGAGGUAUCUCUGGGCCCACUCGGUAGGACAUCAUCAUAUGCGCAAUGUGACCAAGGAGUUGAUCACGGGAUGAUGUGUUACGGAACGAGUAAAGUGACUUGCCGGUAACGAGAUUGAACAAGGUAUUGGAUACCGACGAUCGAAUCUCGGGCAAGUAACAUACCGAUAGACAAAGGGAAUUGAAUACGGGAUUGAUUAAGUCCUUGACAUCGUGGUUCAUCCGAUGAGAUCAUCGUGGAACAUGUGGGAGCCAUCAUGGGUAUCCAGAUCCCGCUGUUGGUUAUUGACCGGAGAACGUCUCGGUCAUGUCUGCAUGUCUCCCGAACCCGUAGGGUCUACACACUUAAGGUUCGAUGACGCUAGGGUUAUAAAGGAAGUUUGUAUGUGGUUACCGAAUGUUGUUCGGAGUCCCGGAUGAGAUCCCGGACGUCACGAGGAGUUCCGGAAUGGUCCGGAGGUAAAGAUUUAUAUAUGGGAAGUCCUAUUUUGGCCACCGGAAAAUGUUCGGGAUUUUUCGGUAUUGUACCGGGAAGGUUCUAGAAGGUUCCGGAGUGGGGCCCACCUGCAUGGGGGGACCCACAUGGGCGUGGGUAGUGGGGGCAAGGCCCCACACCCCUGGUCAAGGCGCACCAAGAUCCCCCCUUAGAAGGAAUAAGAUCAUAUCCCGAAGGGAUAAGAUCAAGAUCCCUAAAAAGGGGGGGUAACAAUCGGUGGGGAAGGAAAUAAUGAGAUUUCUUUCCUCCCACCUUGGCCAACGCCCCAAUGGACUUGGAGGGCAAGAAACCAGCCCCUCCACCCAUAUAUAUAGUGGGGAGGCGCAUGGGAGCUAUAGACGAAGUUCUGGCGCAGCCCUCCCCCUCUCCCAAGUCGUCCUCCUCUCCCGUGGUGCUUGGCGAAGCCCUGCUGGAUUGCCACGCUCCUCCAUCACCACCACGCCGUUGUGCUGCUGUUGGAUGGAGUCUUCCUCAACCUCUCCCUCUCUCCUUGCUGGAUCAAGGCGUGGGAGACGUCACCGGGCUGUACGUGUGUUGAACGCGGAGGUGCCGUGCGUUCGGCACUUGAUCAUCGAUGAUUUGAAUCACGACGAGUACGACUCCUUCAACACCGUUCUCUUGAACGCUUCCGCUUAGCGAUCUACAAGGGUAUGUAGAUGCACUCUCCUUCCCCUCGUUGCUGGUUUCUCCAUAGAUAGAUCUUGGUGACACGUAGGAAAAUUUUGAAUUUCUGCUACGUUCCCCAACAUUUUUCACCUGCCUCGUAGGAGUAAAACUUCCUUACGGUUACGCGGGGAAGAUAAGCAGAUACCUAGACCCAGUGAAGUAGAAGUUCAGCGGGAUGAAGUCUCACGACUGUCACGUGCUGAUGACGCAGAUACUUCCAGUUGCAAUCCGUGGGAUCAUGGACGCGCACGUCCGUGAAACGCUAUUUGGCCUAUGCAACUUUUUCAACGUCAUCUCUCGGAAGUCGAUUGGCGUGAGGCAACUCAGAAGCCUACAGGAAGAGAUCGUGGUGAUACUAUGCGAGCUUGAGAUGUACUUCCCGCCCGCAUUCUUCGAUGUUAUGGUGCAUCUGCUGGUCCAUAUCGUGGAGGAUAUCAUCCAACUCGGGCCGUCGUUCCUGCACGGCAUGAUGCCGUUCGAAAGGAUGAAUGGUGUCAUCAAAGGAUACGUUCGCAACAUGUCACGUCCAGAGGGAAGUAUAGCCAGGGGCUUUCUGACCGAAGAGUGCAUCUCCUACUGCACGAAUUAUCUAGGCAUCGAGAACCCCAUUGGUUUGCCCGUCAACAGGCACCUCGGCAGGCUCACUGGAUGGGUUCACCGUGAGGGUCGCCGCGAAAUGCAUGUCGACUUCGAGGGUCGACUCACCGACUUUGAAAGAGCAAACCUAGUCGCGCUACAACACAUAGACGUGGUCGAUCCUUGGGUGGUAGAGCACAAAACCUUUAUUGAGAAGACGUACAAUGACUGAGGCCAACAGAGGACGGACAGAGAUAUAAUCAAAGAGCACAACUCAUGUUUCACGCGUUGGUUCAAGUAGAAGCUUCUGUCGUACCCUUUACAUGAGGAUUCUUCCGCGGAAGAACAACUCAUAUUCGCCUUGUCACAGGGCGCCGAGCACAACCUGAUGACCUAUGAGGCGUAUGAUAUCAAUGGCUACACAUUCUACACCGAGAACAAGGACAUGAAGAGCGAUGGUUAUCAGAACUCCGGGGUAACGAUGGAAUCCUACACCGGUAAUGACAAGGAUAGAUACUACGGAAGGAUCGAGGAGAUCUGGGAGCUAAGCUACGCUGGGGAGAAGGUCCCGAUGUUCCGUGUCAGAUGGGCCAAGAGUAUCCUAAAAGAAGACCGGUAUUUCACCACCAUGGUUAUACCCGAAGCCAAAUCCAAGACCGCGGGCGCAAAUGUCACCGCGAAAAAUGAGCCAUGGGUACUGGCUUCCCAAGUGGACCAAUGCUUCUACAUUACCGACCCGUCAAAGCCCAGUCGUGUUGUCAUGAGGAGAGGCAAAAGGAAGAUCAUCGGAAUGGAUGGAGUAGCCAAUGAGCAAGACUUCGACAAGUACGGCGACCCGAAGAUUGAACAUGACGACGACGAUGAAGUAGGAGCACACACCACAAGAAGAAGCAGGACCACCCUACCUAAAGGACGUCCGUUCCACAGAAGAACUCCAUUCGCGAAAAAGAAGGGCAAGAAGAUUGUGAACAGAUAGCUAGCUAAGAUCGAUUGUAUUUAAAUCGUAGUCUUCAUUUCUCGAUUGUAUUUCAUGGGCACUUUUUGAUAUCAUGAAUAUUUUUAAAUUUCACGGGCACUUUUUGAAUUCAUGAGGACGCUCGAUCUCGAUCCCCCUCCACCGCCGCCGACGAGCACCCGGCCCCCCGCACCCUCCCCCGCUCCACCGCCGCCGCCGAUGAUAUUUUCAAGUAACAAAUUUGAACAUAUUUUUUAAAAAAUUCUUACUAUUUUUAUAAAAAAAUAUUACUGUUAUGAUUUAAACAAGUUUGAACAUAUUUAAACACAAAUUAAUAUCAAACAACAUUUAAAAUGCAAAAAAAUAUUGCGAAGCCUGGGAAUCGAACCCAGGACCUCUUGGUGUGUGUGCUGCGAGCUGACCAGUCGGGCUAAUGGGCAAUUUCUGAUGUGGAUUGGGUUAGGUGCAAUAUAACCUGUGCUCGAACUGUAAUAAAAAAACAUUCUAAUGCCGCACCGCUGCGGGGUGCGCCAUUGCUAUCUAAAAAAAGAUUUCUAAUGGCGCACCGAGGUGUGGUGCGCCAUUAGUAAGUUUCCCCCUAGCUAUCCUCCCUCUCCCUCGCCAGAUCCCCUUCGACCCUCUCUCCCUCGCCACCAGAUCCACCCGCGCGCUGCCCCGACCCACGAAGCCGCCGCCCCGACCCUCAUCGGACUCCACCCCCGCCGCCCCCGCGCCCCCGCGCCCCUNNNNNNNNNNNNNNNNNNNNNNNNNNNNNNNNNNNNNNNNNNNNNNNNNNNNNNNNNNNNNNNNNNNNNNNNNNNNNNNNNNNNNNNNNNNNNNNNNNNNNNNNNNNNNNNNNNNNNNNNNNNNNNNNNNNNNNNNNNNNNNNNNNNNNNNNNNNNNNNNNNNNNNNNNNNNNNNNNNNNNNNNNNNNNNNNNNNNNNNNNNNNNNNNNNNNNNNNNNNNNNNNNNNNNNNNNNNNNNNNNNNNNNNNNNNNNNNNNNNNNNNNNNNNNNNNNNNNNNNNNNNNNNNNNNNNNNNNNNNNNNNNNNNNNNNNNNNNNNNNNNNNNNNNNNNNNNNNNNNNNNNNNNNNNNNNNNNNNNNNNNNNNNNNNNNNNNNNNNNNNNNNNNNNNNNNNNNNNNNNNNNNNNNNNNNNNNNNNNNNNNNNNNNNNNNNNNNNNNNNNNNNNNNNNNNNNNNNNNNNNNNNNNNNNNNNNNNNNNNNNNNNNNNNNNNNNNNNNNNNNNNNNNNNNNNNNNNNNNNNNNNNNNNNNNNNNNNNNNNNNNNNNNNNNNNNNNNNNNNNNNNNNNNNNNNNNNNNNNNNNNNNNNNNNNNNNNNNNNNNNNNNNNNNNNNNNNNNNNNNNNNNNNNNNNNNNNGCCGAGCAGCGACGCAGCACCGUACGCCCCCCGACCCUCCUCCUCCCCUUGCCCCCCGCCUGCGCAGCUGACGGCCCCUUCUCUGUCUCGCAGGGCAAGGUCUCCGGUGCCUCUACGACACCGACGCCUCCACCGUCUACGGCAUCUGCGCCUUCUUCCACCUCCGGCCACCGUGGCCUCACCGUAUGUGGAGGUAUCUGCUCCUAAGAUCUCUGCGUCCCGGUCCCCUUGGCCCUCCCGGUUCUUCUCCACUAAGGUGCGUUUCUCCAUGCCCCUGUCUCCGCCGUUCCAGGGCUUAAUAGAUCUCCUAUGAUAUACGACUUGUUUAUGAAGAUUUUGAUGUGUUAUGCCUUGUUCUUGUCCCUACAUUUGCACCCUUCCAGGGCUUAACUUGCUUAUGAAUACAUCUCCCAUUGAUUUUGAUGUAGUUUUAGAGUGGCUAGUAUGUAUGUAGUGGAGCUAGCAGUAGCAGCUGCAUCUACGACACCUUCUUUGCUGUUCAGCUGUGUCAAACAAAAUUCCAAUGGCCAACUCAUAUGCCCUGCAAUUUGCUCAUGAUUAUUAUUUAUCUCACAUCACCUUCUCCUCUUUGCUUGCCAUGCACUCCCAGCUCCGUCAUCGCGACCGCGUAAUAGUCCGUGGGUGAUACAACAUGCUCAAAUUCAGUAAUUAAUCAGUAUAUAUAUACCAUAAGAGAAGUCUCAAAGAUUGGGACUAUCUUGCCUUAUGUUUCAAACUUUGAACUAUAUACAUGACUUCUAUUUUAUUUUUGAAAUUCACAGAGUUAGGACUAUCGUGUGGAUGAUGCUAAACAGAGAUAGGAGUAGUAGUGGUGGCCAUCUAGUUGGACUACUACUGCUAGGACUUGCUCCAGAUUUUAGGAUUUCUUUUCUUUUAGGAUUUAUUUUCUUCUAGGACUAGGUUUUUAUUAUUUUUCUGUUGUGAUUGUUUUUUGAGCUCUUUCUUUUUCAUUUCCUACUAUCCUUAUCCUAAUUAUCUUAAAUUGUUAUGAUGUGUGUAAUAGGAUUAGAUCUUGGAUUUGCUAGUGGACUUUGGGAGUUUCUUAGCCAGCUUGGUGACUCCAUAUUUUUCACUAUUUCAGCAAGUCUUUUGUAAGCAUAAAACUUUCAGCACUACAUUUCUAUCUUAUGUGUACAUCUGUUUGCUUCCAAUUGCUAUAUAUGUAUUGUUGUUACUAAAAAUGAUGAAGCUCCUGUCAAUUGCUAUACAUAUAUAUGUGAAUGAUGAUCCUCCUUUCCUGCAGUAGUAUAACUAGGAUAUAAAGCACAUUGAACUAACAAUCUUGUAUGGUGCCUAAACUACAAUGAUUCAAGAACAUCAGAUGACAUAGCAUGUGGAUAUUGACAUAGGAUGAGUAGAUUAAUAAGUGAGCCAAAAGUGAUGGACAAACCUCAUGCUAGGAAUUCUCGAGGGUUGCAGUACAUGGAAUGCAUUUGCAAAUGCAGCCAAAACCUGAUAUAUACCAAAAAAAUUGUAUAGAAAUAUGCUGAAUGUUCUGCUCUGAUUGUUGCUCAAAGAAAUUUAGCAAAAAAAUGGGGUCCUGGGAGACGCCGCUGCUGCUUGAGGCCCUUGAGAGGCCCUUCGUGUCAUGAUGAUUUUGCAGGUACCCCGAGAGGCCCUUGAGUUUGCCGGAAUGUCGAUUAACUUCCGUUCCGGCAAAUUCGGGUACUCCAUAUGUCCUAUUUUUAGCAAAGGUCAUGCUGAAAUUUUCCGUGAAUUUUAGCAUGACUUUGCUAAAAAUCGGACAUAUGAGGUACUUGCUACUAAUGCAUGGGCCGGGGUAUCUUAGUACUUAAUUAAGUAGGAUCAACUGCCCCUUUAUUCUUGCUGCAUUAAACCAUAGGUGGCAAUAGAGCCAAGUGAUUAGGCCCAACUUAGAAAUUCUCCUCAGCAUCGAUAAACCCUAGAUGAUAAACCCAACAUAGGUGGCAAUAGAGCCAACUGAUUAGUGCCAAGUGAUUAGGCCCAACCUAGGGUGCCUCGGCAUCGAUAAACCCUCAAUGAUGAAAACUUAGCAUUUAGGGUGCCUCAGCGUCGACAAACCCUAAAUGAUGAAACCUUGGCUUUUAGGGUGCCUCGGUGUCGAUGAGAACCUAAAUGAUGUACGCUUAGGCUUUUAGGGUGCCUCGGCGUCGACAAACCCUAAAUGAUAAAAGCUUAGCUUUUAGGAUGCCUCGGUGUCGACAAACCCAAAAUGAUGAGACCAUGAUCUUGUUCCUUGACAAUAACCAACUUUUUACCAAACUUUUUUCCUAUUUAGAGUGAAACAUGGCCCACAACGAUGAGGCCGGUGGCUCGGGCGACAAGCAAUUCUGGGAGCUGUACCAGGAGUUGGAGGAAGAACCUCACCGGUAUGAGGACGCCGCGGAAGAAACCAAUCCUGACUACACAACCCCUAGUGGCGUCGGGGAUGACACCACUGAUGAUGGCGCCGCGGAUGCCACCACUGAUGAUGGCGGCGCACGCAUAGAUGGCAGCCAACUGAAGAGGCAACAGAAGGACCAGCGCCCAGACGUGCUCAGCACCGUCAGGGAGGAAUUUACUGAAGUGAACUCCGACGGGCAUCUGACGGCGCCCAAACACGUAGUCAAGGGGUACUCGAUUCAGCUUGGGUGCGUUCUCCGGAGCACCGCCUCGAUCAACACCGAGAACCUAAGGCAUAAGGACCGAGGGAAUUUGCGCAGCCUCCUCUUCACGAAGCUGCACGAACGAUACAAGUUCCCCGCUGAGUUCGCAAACACACGCCUCCCGGGUAAUAAAGUGAAUGGUGCCGCCCUCACGAUGAUCAGCACGGCCCUGUCUACUUGGAAAAGCACGGUCAAGGUAAUGAUUGACAAAGGUGAUAGUUAUGAGAAGAUCAAGGCGAAAUAUCCUUUGAUGAGCGAAGAUGACUACAAGGAGUUCAAGAUCAAGUGCGAGAGCCCCGCAACCUCCGAAUCAAGUUGGGCGAAAGAAAUGCGGCAGUUGAACAUAGGGGUCCACCAACUCGGUCCCGGCGGUUACAGAGUGGCGGAGCCUGUAUGGGACAAGGAGGACGCGGAGCAUGCCGAGCAAGGCCUACUGCCCCACUUCGAGAAAUAUCAUGACAAGCAGACAAGAACUUUUUCAGGGCCCGGUACAAGGAGGACCCGGUAACAAAGGAGCUUACCACGGAUCCGAAGACCAAGGAGCUUGAGCUUGUUCUGGUAAGGAAUACACCCCCACGUAAUUAGCUCCAUAUGGUUGCAUUCUAAUUAAUCCCCAAUAUUUCUAAAUGGUUCACAUUCCUUCCGCAGGACAAAUAAAGCAGUAGCUCGGGGUCGUCUUAGAGCUACCCUUUCGACACCCCUUUGAAUAGGGCAUUGAACGUAAUGAAAAACAGGGAUAAGCUCAAUAAGCCGACGUCAGCUGGUCGUGUGGCCGGCAAAGGCUUGUCCACAAAAUGGUUGUCAUACUAUGGCGCUGGUGGGCGAAAGAAGAAAAAGACCAGCUCAGAAAAGCCAGUCGCGCGAGGUUGAAGCACUCAAGGCGCAAGUGGCACGGAUUCCGAAGAUGGUCCAAGAGCAAGUGCAACAACAACUGGGAUCGACGCUUACCGGUAUUAUGCCUACCUUGAUUCAUGGGAUAACGACGUGGAUUGCGGGUGGCCAACAAGGGCCGCCCCCGAUUCCCAGCUUCACGGCCAGCAACUCACACAACGCGCAGGCAGCACCAUUGAUGUCUCCGGCGGCGGCGGUAUUGGUGUCUACGGCGGCGGCGCCAGUGGUGUCUCUGGCGGCGGCGGUAUUGGUGUCUCCGAUGCCGGCAUUGGAGCUUAAUGCACCCGGGUGUACGCCGGCCGGCACCUCGCCAGCAAGCGGCCCCUCCGUUAGUUGCACGCCCGCUGUUGGCGGUGCCUCGACAUUAGCCGAGCUCGACGGCAUGACGAUAACUAAGCCUCUCGGUCGAGGACUUCAUCUCCUUGCCUUUGACUGGGCAUCCCUGACGCCCUACAUGUUUUCGCAGGGCGCCACCAACGUUCCUUGCACUCUCCUGCACUUCGUGGGCGGCGAGUUGGUCGAUGUCGCCAAGGGCAGAAUCGUUCAACUGGGCAACCCCGUGUUCCACGGUAAUCCGAUGCCACCCACAAUGUAUAGGGUUGAAGUGGUUCGGGUGCUGCUAGGCUGCGACGAGCUGUUACCUCCGAUUCGACCCGCUGGGGCCGACGAAGAAGAUGAGAUGACCCUCAAUGCCUGCGUAAGCUGGCCCUUGCUUUGGCCGAAGAGCCAGAUUCGUUUGGGGGCGGGGGACACCACCCCACAGACAAGACCGCCAGUCGUGUCGGCGCCAAGCCAUGGCAAGAACGCCGCAACGCUACCGGACAUGCCGGACAUCCCUAUGGCACAGGAUUUGGACAUGCAUAUGGCACAGGAUCCGGAUGACGACGACAACGACGAUGGUACAUUUACCAACGUCGAUAAGUACUUUGUCGAACAUGGGUACGGUGACGAGUUCCAUGGGCCUCCUUCUCAAGAACCCAAACAAGACGACCGCGAUCUAGCUGGUACGGCGGAGAAACCAAAUUGCAACAGGCGUCGUCUGGCGUUCAGUUCUCAGGAGACGCCUCCAGCUGCCGCCUUCACCGAGCCUCAGAUAGCGGAGGUGCCAAAUAUUAGCAGCCCCAACACGCUCAAGAAGGCGGUCUGUGAGCAGAACUCGGUCCCAUUACAGCAGAUCAAGAAGAAUGGCCGGAAACGGCAGACUAAAAAGGCCGCCGGUGCGAGCCAGCCGGCACCGAGUACGAUCCGUGCUCAGGACGGGCCACCUUCACCUAAGGAUAUCUCUAGGAGGGUGCAUGUGGCGGCUAGGGCGAUGCUACCGACAAAUAUGCUCAAUGCUGCAACCGGUGCUAUGCGGAGUCUGCACGACAGUGUUCUUUCUUUGGAGAAGCGGCGUCUCAGAGAGAAUGAUGUGGCAUACCCGGUUUUCGUGGCCAAGGUGCCAGAGGGCAAGGGCUUUGUGGAUGGCGCCAUCGGGGGUACGAUCGUCCUGCAGUUUGAUGACAUCUUUGCUAUGUUCAACCUUCAUCCGCUGCACUACACCUUCGUUCAGCUGUUUUCGCUGAGUAUGGAGAUGGGUAUCAUUAGAGACAAGACCCCGGACAUCAUGAUCGUCGACCCCUUCUACAUGCGUGCGAAGCUCUUGAGCAGCGCUGGGGACCGCCAAGUCGCGAGUUCACACCUCGAAGAUGUCAUUCUAGCAAAUCCAGAUAAGGAUAACUUCCUUGUGCCUUACUUUCCCGAGUAAGUCAUCCCUUAACUGCCCCGUAACAUAUGAUUUCUUAGAUUUCGAUCGUUCUUUUUUUUCUAACAUUCCGUGUUCUGUGCAGUGACACACAUUGCACACUCAUCCUCUUAAGCCCGAAAUAUUCCAUGGCCACGUAUUUCGACCCGAACCGUAACUCCAAGAUAGACUACACAAAUAUCUAGAAAGUUCUUGAUGAUGUUCUCCCUGGCUACGCCAAAUCUGGAGGCACCUUCAUCAGGGCAGUUCGUAAGUACGGCAAGCACGUGUUCGCCCAGAAUACGAUGUUCUCCUGUGUCAAGCAGCCGCCUGGCGGUCAGAAGGAUGCCUACUAUGCCCUCCAUCACAUGCGGGCGAUCGUAAGGGACCAUCAUCACCUUUUGCUACCAAAUAAUCUCAAAGAUUGGGCCGCGAGCUUGUCGUCAAUCUAGGACGCGGACAUCAGACAAGAAUUCUUUCGCAUCCAGUCGGAGUUUGCGGACAUCAUCCAUCAAGAUGUCCUUCAUACCUCGGGGCAGUUCUUCCUCAGAUAUCAACCGUCCAACAUUGAGAUAGACGGAAUGCUAGAAAUGCAGGCUGACAACGCCCACGAUUUCAUGACCAUCACGACAGACGGCGGCUUCAUCCACGCUCCUGUCCAUGAGUCGAGUCGAAAGUAGUGAUGUGUAGUUCCGAAACAUUGAUUGGCUCAUGUUGUAAUUAAACUUUAAUGAAUUGUAUGUCUCUUUGAUUUGGACAAUCGUUCAACUUAGAUGUAAUCGAUGUUAUUUAUUAGUAGGACCAUGAAUCGUGCUAUUACUGUCUUGCUUUUCUCUUCUGAUCCUUUUGUUGCAUACUUAUAUAUUGCUUAUGUAUGUAUUGUCUGUUGUUUGGCUUGUGCAUAGAGAUGCCGUCGUAUGUCGUGUACAAGGGUAAGGUUCCCGGAGUCUACGACGACUGGGAGGAGUGUCGGAGACAGGUUCACCGUUUCAGCGGUAACAGUUACAAAGGGUACACCACUAGGGGGGAGGCCGAAUCUAGAUACGCCCGCUAUCUAGCGAGAGAGAGGAGGGAGCGUUGGAGGAACCGGAUGAAGACCAGUUUGAUCGCGAUGAUGCUCAUCGUGAUGACCGCAGCUCUCUUCUAUGUGAUGGUAGUUUAGAUGAUUGAUAUCGACUUGUAAUGUGAAGACAAACUUGAUACUCGCGGUCUCAAGACUUGUAAUGUUUUAUCUUUGUUCGGUCUUUUGAAUUCGAAGACUAAUAUGAUGAAUUGUAUUCGGAGACUAAUCUUCUAUUGUAUUCGAUGAAUCUGCUGUUGCUGUGUGCUACUGUCUAUAUUCUGUCAAAUAAUAUAUUUUGUAACCUGUGCAAAAAUCAGAAAAGUAAAAAAAAACCAAAUAUUCAUACUAAUGGUGCAUCACCACAAGGUGCGCCAUUAGUAUGCCAAAGGAUACUAAUGGCGCAUCAAGACAGAGUGCGCCAUUAGUAUGACAAAGCAGAUGGUUACAUAUGGCCCCCCGGGAGGCAUACUAAUGGCGCAUGGUGUUACAUACUAAUGGCGCACUUCCUGUUGCGCCAUUAGCAUACCAGAUACUAAUGGCGCACCAGUGGUGCGCCAUUAGUAAAAAAAUCUAGUGGCGUGAUACUAAUGGUGCACCGGUAGUGUGCCAUUAGUAGGCAAUACCAGUGCGCCAUUAGUAGGCCAUUUCCUAGUAGUGCCCCUUGUGUCGAAUCAAUAAAUUUGGGUUGAAUACUCUACCCUCGAAUCUUUUGUGAUCCCCUAUACUUGUGGGUUAUCACAUAACAUAUAUCUAAAUUGAUGUGCUUGUCCUUUUCAUAAAUUUGUGAUGGCUUAUUUUUGUAACCACCGAAAUCUGAUAAUACAUAUUUUUGUGUGGUGAUGGCAGCCUGGUCAUUUGUUACGCAGUUCCUCUCGAUGAUCGAUUCAGCUUAUGGUAGUUCUAUAUUAAUUGACCUCAAACACCGGGGGAAAUGUGAAGUCGAUGCAUUGUAUAUUUUUGUGUGCUAGAUCGAGGGCUUCAAGAUAGAACUUGUUGUGAAUCUUCUAGUAUCUGUGUGAAUUCUUAUAUGUUGAUUCUUGUUGACUCUUGUCCCUUAUCGAUCGUUUGCAACUUAACUUUAGAAUCUCAUGCGUGUGGUAAUGGACUUACAGGUUCCAUCACAGAUGCCAUCGACGGUGGGCAUACAUGCUGUGGUGGAAGCUCAUUGCAUCUUUUAGGUUCAUGCUUAGUGUGAACUUGGAAGUCAUGCUUUCGUUUGUGAACUCUUGUUGCAUAUGUAAGGAUGUUGUUGUGAACCUUUGUUGGAUAUGUAUGCAUGUGUGAACUUGGAAUGUAUGCAUGCAUGGACAUUGAACUAAUGGUCGGUUUGUUAUGUUGUCAAGUUGUAAUAUAUUGUUGAUG